rnacentral:piRNA from 1 species
UGGGCUCCAGAGGUGUUUUGAGUCUGU